GGAAAUAGGGAAAAAGAAUAAGGGCGACCAUGGCGGCUAACCGAGAAGCAUCCAACGAUGAGCCCAGUAGCAGGAUCAGGGUUUUAAGCUCUCACUUGCACUCCCCUCCUCCACCUUCUCGAAUGGCUUCUUCCGAGAAGGAUGCUGCGCUCGCCGCAACCCCAUCCGACGCGCCCACCAUCUUCGAUAAAAUUAUACACAAGGAAAUUCCUUCCAAGGUGGUUUACGAGGACGAAAAGUUGGGAGGAGUGCGAAUGGAAGACGGCCCUGUAUUGCUCCACCUACUCAAACUACGCCCAGCGACCUCCGGGGAAACCCUUGCCGAUGUCCUCGAAACCCUGUGGAAGAACCGAAGGACCGGCCUCGAUUCCCUCGAGAAGUCUCGGAUCCGGUCCCUUCUCAUCCUCCCCGCAGCCCAGGACCUCGACCCAAUUUUGGCUUGCCUUCGGUUGCUUGUUAGAAAGUGUGUACAUGAGAAACUAACAGGAGAUGACAUCAAAAAAUUGUUUCCUCAUGACCUUUCUAUUGAACUUCAGAGCAGUCUCGUGCUUUUAUUUCAGAAGUAUCACAAUCAGUGGAAUGAAGAAUUGUCAAGUGACCAGGCAAGGGUGUCAGGUCAGGCCAAAUUCAAUGCAACUCUUGGUCGUGCAUCUUCCCCAGCUUCAGAGAAAUUGCCAUCGCUUUGGCCAAGGCAAGACGUAACUUUUAUUAAUAAUGACAAUUUUCGAACAUCCAAUCAAAUCAGGGUUGAUUCACAUCCUCCACCGUUGGCUACUAUGGUUGUUCAUCAAGAUACUAGCUCUUCCAGAAAUAUGGAAACUCUUCCUCGACUGAAGUCAAUGACAUGGAUCAUGCAGAACCGUAACUCGGCACCUGCAAACCGAGUAGCUGUCAUCACUUUAAAGCUGCAAGAUUAUACAAAUUCUACUUCUGGAGAAUUAGAAGUUAAAUUUCAGCUUUCCAAAGACACAUUGGAAGCCAUGUUGAGGACAAUGACCUACAUCAGUGAACAGCUAUCAAGCUCUGUGGAGCAGUCAUCAGAACCUUCUGCGAAAAAGCCGAAACAAUAGUGUGGACUCUCAAAUUUGUUGAUCUUUUACUGGAGUUUUUGAUGGGCAGCACUUGGACUAUCCAUAUGCACCAGAUGCCAGCAUCAGUUGGCAUUUCUGCAACUUAUAUCACACAAUUGGCGUGAACACAGAGUCGUCAACGACUGGGAUGCAUAGUUAAUCAUGCACAGGAGCUGAACUGAGCCUACCACAAUGGGCACCGAGCUGCUGCUUCUUUUGGCUGUCAGUCUAGUUUUUUCCUCUCACUUUGGGUGUCUGAGACGUACAUCAUUAACCUCCUUAGAUCCUAGAUCUGCAUCGUGGGUUUAGAUGGCUUGCAUUCUAAUUGUGAAUUCCAUUCGUUGAUUGCAUUGCUACCCUCUUAAUUCACGAGUCUCUUGUAGUUGGAAAGCUGUCUUUUCUAUUCUUUUAAUUUUUGGUGUCACUUGGGUGCAUUA